rnacentral:misc_RNA from 1 species
GAAAGGGGAGAAGUAAUGUGAAUUGCAGAAUUCAGUGAAUCAUCGAAUCUUUGAACGCACCUUGCGCUCCUUGGUAUUCCUUGGAGCAUGCCUGUUUGAGUAUCAUGAAAUCUUCAAAGUAAAUCUUUUGUUAACUCAAUUGGUUUCUACUUUGGUAUUGGAGGUCUUUGCAGCUUCACACCUGCUCCUCUUUGUUCAUUAGCUGGAUCUCAGUGUUAUGCUUGGUUCCACUCGGCGUGAUAAGUUAUCUAUCGCUGAGGACACUGUAAAAGGUGGCCAAGGUAAAUGCAGAUGAACCGCUUCUAAUAGUCCAUUGACUUGGACAAUACUUUUAUGAUCUGAUCUCAAAUCAGGUAGGACUACCCGCUGAACUUAAGC